GUCAGGAUUCUGUGAAGCAGAAGCCUGGGUCCUUCAUGAAUGGCACCAUAGCAACAAAAGGAAGACCUUGGACAGGACGCUCAGGACAACAGGCUCCUGUCACCUUAGGGAUGUGAGGAGAGCAAUGGCAAGCUCAACUUCUCCAGUGCCUCACUCAUCAAGACAUCGGGGUCACGUCCGUGGCAGAUCCCACCGUGCCCAGCACCUGCUGUCCGAGGCCCAGCCUACUUAAGUGUGGAGAGGCUCCUUGCUGUGGCCCCCCACACACGCCCUGGCCCCCUCCAGGAAAUCACCUUUGGGGGCCACAUCUACUGAGGGAGGGAGCAAGGACCUGCAGUCUUCUGCCAGUGGAGAAGUGCAAUCUUCCAUCUGCAUUGAUGUAACUAAAAGAUGUGUUUGAAGUCAUGCCACAGACUCUAACAAAGAAGGCAAUAAUAGCGUGUGAUAUAUAUUGUAGGAUGGUUUCCAUAAAAAUUAUUUAAACUUUAAAAAAAAUCACUGGCUAAGCUUCAGUUAUCUGGAAAAUCCGCUCUUUUCCUACACAGCUCAUUCCCUAACAAAGCCCUAAGGGCAUAUGUGCUUGCUAAUGAAAGGAUGAGGUGAACUAAGUUUGCAGUUGUCCUGCUCCCUGUAUCAACAUUUAAAUAACAGCUCUGCACCAUUUUUAAUUAAAAUUCACAUUUCUAUAGUGCUUCAGGGUUUACAAGGCGCCUCACACACUAUGAAGUAGAAAGCUUCAAUGUUCCUCUUUCCAUGUUACAAACAGGAAAACAGGCCAUAGAAGACAAGUUUGCAAGGGUCGUACAGCUAGUAAAUGGCAGGGCUGGAUUUGAACCCAAAUCUUCUGAUUUCUUCUACUACACCAUGCUACCUCUCACAAGAAUUGGAGGGGGACACAGACCAGAUCCUCCCCCAAUAAGAUGCCUGCUGACCCAGGCACCUCUGACCCCACCAACCCUCAAAAAGAGCUCUGAUCCAAGCAUAUGGCUCUCACUACAAUUGGGCACUUCCAGGGCCAGAUUUCACACACAAUGUUUCUGUCAGAAGAAAGCUCUGUAAAUUCCUUGAGGAACUCAGUUCCUGAGCAUCUGCUUCUCCCACGUCUCGGGCUUGGCUCCUGAGGUGGCCUCAAUUUGAAAAGGCUCACUCCCGUUUGAACACUGGAAGUCCCUACAACAAGGCUGGUCCUCUGGGGCCUUGGCUCUCACUCCUCACACCUCCCCAAACCCCGAGAAGCCAGGCUCUUCUGUCACAAUAUCCCUAACACCAAGGGCCCCGUGGAGGGAGGUCUGCAACACUUGGACCACCAGCUGUUUCCCACUCUGCCUGCUGGAGAAGCCGAGAGGCCAGGUUCUGCCUUUGCUCUAGACACAGUCCUCACCCCACCCCCUUUUGGUUGGGUACUGGGCUCAGACUGAUGAGGUAAAUAUAGCUUCAGAUCAUAUCUGUGGAGUGGGGGUAGGGAGGACUCUGCCUCCUUUCCUGGAGGAUGGAAGAGAAGAAAGGAAGACAGAAGGUAAAAGCAGGUCCAGAUGGUUUCCCAUCUUGGUUUAAUGUAGAUUUGAAAGAGAAUAUUACAAUAUAUAUCAUUUGGCAAAUACAUGAGUAUUCAUUUUUGUAUGAUUUCUCAUCAAUAAACACCAAAGCAUGGUAUAGAUCACAGUGGAAAAAUGGAGUCUGAGCUUACAAGUUAUUUCACAGCCUUAAAACAGAGACCAAAAGGAGUCUGGAAAAGAUAGCG